AUUCUCUCCCUCCCUCUCCCCCUCCCCCUCCCCCCUCCAUCUCUCUCUCUCGCUCCUCUCUCUCUAUCUAUGUUCAUGCAAGUUUAAUUGAAGGUGGAUCAACCCUGUCAUUCAGACAGAUUUUUUGGAGCUCUUGUACAACAAGUCCCACUACCAGCUAAGUCAGUUUAUCAGAACGAACCCUCCUGCCACAAAGCCAUGAAGAUGCAUCUUUUCAUCAUGUUCUGUCUGCUGGGGGUCUUGACAGCACAGGAAGUGAAAGAAUUGACUUCUUGUCAAACAAAAGAGAAAAAUCUAAGGAUGGACUGCAAGUAUACUGUCCCAGAUACAUCCAAAGCACCAACUUGCGAGUACAGACAAGAAGGGAAAGUGAUGGGCAGUACGGAUUCCAAACUUGAAGUGGACCCCUCCUUCAAAAACCGCGCCAAUGUAACCUUGCUGGGUGGAAAUGUGUGUCGCCUCGUUUUGACGGGGUUCUCUCAAGACAAGUCCAAUAACAAUAUCUGCAUCAUCACCCAGGACAAAUCUGCAAACAAGACUGUGGCUGUAGACCCCAAAACUCUGAUUCCCUGUUCUGCCAUCAGCGUGCUGUUCCAGACGAGCCCUGCAGUGCUGCUAACGCUGCUCCCUGUGCUGCUGGAAAUGUGGCAUUUGUGAAGCAGUGGAGUGCGGAAGGCAUGAAAUCACUAGCUUUAUUUGAAUCAGGCCUUUAAAUCCGUUUUAUCUGAAUCAGUCCUUUCAAUCAGUUUUAUCUGAAUCAGUCCUUUCUUGACUGGCACACCUACUGGAUAUAUAAACUUGCUACCUGACAUUCUAGAAUGCCUGCAGAUUUCAGUGUGGAUAUAGUAAAAACACACACAAGCUUGACAUAAUUAUUUUCAUGAUUGAAAACAUUUAUGACCAUUCAGUAUGAAUGCAUUUUGCUUUCAAACAUUUGUGUUUCUUCAAGCUUGUAGAACCUUUUAGUAAUCAUGUAUCUGGAUAAACAUAAUAAUAAUAAUAAUAAUAAUAAUAAUAAUAAUAGUAAAUAGCCCCUUAAUUCAUAGGUUAGGCUAAAGGAAAUAAAUAGUCAAAGUAAAUGUGUGUGUGAGUGUGUGUGCGGGUGUGUGUGCGUGCGUGCGUGUUUGUGUGUGUGAGAGAUAAAUCCUGCUGAUAUACCCACACUUGGUGUGGUGAUUGAGUCAACAACCCUAAUAAAUUCAUGCGAACAUUUCUUUUCAUAUGCAUGUUGCUCAGUUGUAUGUUAAUGUCUGGUUCUUGUCAAUCCUCAUCCAUAAAUUGAUAUUAAUUUGAAUGAUGACACUGUCAUAUAAUAAUCAAAAAAUAUGAUUAGGUGGGACUAAUUGAGGUGAUUCUCUGAGUUUUAGGCGGGCUUUACAAAUAAAGUUUUUCGAAAAAUACA